AUGGAGAGAAUCAGGAUGAGGAGGAUGCCACUGCGGAUCCAUGCCAAUCCGGAGUGCCGGCACAGAUCCAAGCGGCCCCGUCAAGCUGCCGCCGAGGUUGACCCUGAGCAGGCCAUCGCUGCCGCGCCUCUGCCACAGGCCCAGCCAGCUCCGUGCGCGCAGGCCCAGCCAAAGCCGCGCUGCAAUGGGCCGAUGAACACGAAGCAGCCAUCGGUCGCGGGUGUUACGGUCUGGGAAAUCGCAGAGAUGGGGUCAACGGGCCUGGGAAAUCAGAAGAGAGAGAGAGAGAUGGGGUCAACGGAACCAACACCAAAAGAGGGGAUCCGACCAUCAGUGCUCGACCCGGGCGCCACGGGCAAGAAGAGAGAGGGGAACGCCACGGUGUGGGCUGUGGAAGACAUGGGUGCGUCGUGUGGUGUGGCUGGAGCACGGAUAGAGAGAAGGGCAACGCUGAUGGAGUGA
rnacentral:rRNA from 1 species